rnacentral:rRNA from 1 species
GACGAACGCUGGCGGCGUGCUUAACACAUGCAAGUCGAACGGAAAGGCCCUGCUUUUGUGGGGUGCUCGAGUGGCGAACGGGUGAGUAACACGUGAGUAACCUGCCCUUGACUUUGGGAUAACUUCAGGAAACUGGGGCUAAUACCGGAUAGGAGCUCCUGCUGCAUGGUGGGGGUUGGAAAGUUUCGGCGGUUGGGGAUGGACUCGCGGCUUAUCAGCUUGUUGGUGGGGUAGUGGCUUACCAAGGCUUUGACGGGUAGCCGGCCUGGGAGGGUGACCGGCCACAUUGGGACUGAGAUACGGCCCAGACCCCUACGGGAGGCAGCAGUGGGGAAUAUUGCACAAUGGGCGGAAGCCUGAUGCAGCAACGCCGCGUGCGGGAUGACGGCCUUCGGGUUGUAAACCGCUUUCGCCUGUGACGAAGCGUGAGUGACGGUAAUGGGUAAAGAAGCACCGGCUAACUACGUG